rnacentral:misc_RNA from 1 species
CGAAUCCUCUCCUUCUCUAUGUGUUCCUGUAUAUAGAGACAUGUAUGUGUAGAUAGUUCUUUGUGUGUGUUGGUACAGAUUUAGAUUAGAGUAGAUCGAUAAAAGUUGGAGCUUGCUGUUAGGUUUUUGUUUGUGUUUUGUGUUUUGCCCUAAUUGAAUUCUGAUUCUAGGGCAAAAUUAGGGUUUUUGUGGCUGGGUAU